rnacentral:lncRNA from 1 species
UCUCUCUCUCUCUCUCUCUCUCUCUCUCUCUCUCUCUCUCUCUCUCUCUCUCUCUCUCUCUCUAAGUUAGCACACCUCUCACCAGCUGGACCCAUCAAUCUCUGUGACAGGUGAUUGUCUGUCAGUCUGCUUCUUAUUGGGUGGCAUCCAGAAAAGGAAACAACAAAUUCUCAGUCAGUCAGUGAGCCCACCUCCACAGUCUGUCACUGUAUUUCUAUUGAGUGUCCCAUACAAUCCAUCCAUGUUCACAAGGUAACUUACAAGGUACUGAUAAGGAGUGAAGAAUACUUGUAAUAGUUUCUCUUUUAGCAGCUAGGCUAAAGAGUUCAGUCUGCUGUCUGCUUGAUGUCAUGCUGCCCUGUGGCGGUUGGUCCACUUUGACCCCAGCUUUAGGAGCUAGACGUCAGUGGUCGUCAAUAACAGCCCUGACUGGGUGGGUGGAUGGGAGGCAGGCAUGUGUUUCUGAAGAGAAGGCCUGAGGCUUUCCACUGUCUCUGUAGCUCUGAAAAUAUGGUGUUAUUAGUGUCUGCGUCUCUAUAACUGUGUGUGUGUGUGUGUGUGUGUGUGUGUGCACGCGUGCAUGUGUGCGUCUGUGUGUGCACGCGUGCAUGUGUGCGUCUGUGUGUGUGUGUGUGUGUGUAUGUGUAUGUGCGCGUCUGUGUGCGUGUGUGUGUGUGUGUGUGUGUGUGUGUGUGUGUGUGUGUGUGUGUGUGUGUGUGUGUGUGUGUGUGUGUGUGUGUGUGUGUGUGUGUGUGUGUGUGUGUGUGUGUGUGUGUGUGUGUGUUCGUGUGUGCGUGUGUGUGUAGAGGCCCAAACAUAUCUGGACUGGUAUGUAGCAGCAUUGGUUCAGGGAGGCGUGCGACUUCAGGCCAGACAGGAUAAAUGAGAAUUUGGCAGUACGUCCAACCUGCCUCACAACCGCAGACCACGUGUAACCACUCCAGCCCAGGACCUCCACAUCUGACUUCUUCACCUACGUGAGCAUCUGAGAUCAGCCACCCGGACAUCUGAUGAAACUGACAAUUAUUUCUGUCUGUAAUAAAGCCCUUUUGUGAGGAAAGCACUCAUUCUGAUUGUCAGGUCCUAACUCCCCAGUGGGUGGGCCUAUGCCCUCUCGGGCCUAUGCCCCCCCAUGCCCACCCAUGGCGGUGCCCCUGCC